UCAGGUCUCACACCCAGUCCGGUGCGUCAGGCGGUGGCGGUGGCAGCAUCCCUCCCAUCACCCCAUCGCGGCGAACGUGAACAGAAACAAACUCCUGAACGAUUGGGCCCCCAGCCAGGCCUAUGUCGUACAUGACAAGACAGCGUACGCGAAUGUAGGUGAGUCUAGGCACGGAAGGACAGCCGAACUCCUCACACUCUACCUCAACGU
rnacentral:lncRNA from 1 species